rnacentral:rRNA from 1 species
AUUGAACGCUGGCGGCGUGCUUUACACAUGCAAGUCGGACGAGUGGAGAACGGGUGAGUAACGCAUCGGAACGUACCGAGUAAAGGGGGCUAAAUGUACGAAAGGACCGCUAAUACCGCAUAUUAUUCGAGCGGACGAUGUGUGAUUAGCUGGUUGGGGGGGUAAAGGCCAAACAAGGCGACGAUCAGUAGCGGGUCUGAGAGGAUGAUCCGCCACACUGGGACUGAGACACGGCCCAGACUCCUACGGGAGGCAGCAGUUGGGAAUUUUGGGCAAUGGGCGCAAGCCUGCUCCAGCCAUUCCGCGUGUCUGAAGAAGGCCUUCGGGUUGUAAAGGACUUUUGUCAGGGAAGCGGUACCUGAAGAAUAAGCACCGGCUAACUACGUGCCAGCAGCCGCGGUAAUUC